rnacentral:rRNA from 1 species
UACGUAGGGGGCGAGCGUUGUCCGGAUUUAUUGGGCGUAAAGAGCUCGUAGGCGGUUUGGCAAGUCGGGUGUGAAAACUCCGGGCUCAACUCGGAGACGCCACUCGAUACUGCUAUGACUCGAGUCCGGUAGGGGAGUGCGGAAUUCCUGGUGUAGCGGUGAAAUGCGCAGAUAUCAGGAGGAACACCGGUGGCGAAGGCGGCACUCUGGGCCGGUACUGACGCUGAGGAGCGAAAGCGUGGGUAGCAAACAGG